GGAAGUAAAAGUCGUAACAAGCCCUCCGUAGGGGUACCUGCGGAGGGAUCAUUACACAAAUUAAAAUAUGAAGGCUCGAGCUGGAUUAUUUUUAUCACCCUUGUCUUUUGCGCACUUGUUGUUUCCUGGGCGGGUUCGCCCGCCACCAGGACCACACCAUAAACCUUUUUUAUGCAGUUGCAAUCAGCGUCAGUAUAACAAAUGUAAAUCAUUUACAACUUUCAACAACGGAUCUCUUGGUUCUGGCAUCGAUGAAGAACGCAGCGAAAUGCGAUACGUAGUGUGAAUUGCAGAAUUCAGUGAAUCAUCGAAUCUUUGAACGCACAUUGCGCCCUUUGGUAUUCCAAAGGGCAUGCCUGUUCGAGCGUCAUUUGUACCCUCAAGCUUUGCUUGGUGUUGGGCGUCUUUUUGUCUUUGGCCUCGCCCAAAGACUCGCCUUAAAACGAUUGGCAGCCGGCCUACUGGUUUCGCAGCGCAGCACAUUUUUGCGCUUGCAAUCAGCAAAAAGGACGGCAAUCCAUCAAGACUACAUUUUUACGUUUGACCUCGGAUCAGGUAGGGAUACCCGCUGAACUUAAGCAUAUCA
rnacentral:rRNA from 1 species